rnacentral:rRNA from 1 species
CCAGCAGCUGCGGUAAUUCCAGCUUCAAUAGCGUAUAUUUAAGUUGUUGCAGUUAAACAGCUCGUAGUUGGAUUUCGGGUGGGUUCCAGCGGUCCGCCUAUGGUGAGUACUGCUGCGGCCCUCCUUUUUGUCGGGGACGGGCUCCUGGGCGUCACUGUCCGGGACUCGGAGUCGACGAUGAUACUUUGAGUAAAUUAGAGUGUUCAAAGCAAGCCUACGCUCUGAAUACUUUAGCAUGGAAUAUCGCGAUAGGACUCUGGCCUAUCUCGUUGGUCUGUAGGACCGGAGUAAUGAUUAAGAGGGACAGUCGGGGGCAUUCGUAUUUCAUUGUCAGAGGUGAAAUUCUUGGAUUUAUGAAAGACGAACUACUGCGAAAGCAUUUGCCAAGGAUGUUUUCAUU